rnacentral:lncRNA from 1 species
CUCGCGCCUGAUCCUGUCCUGCUCCCUGUAGACGUCCUCCUGGUCCUCCGGGCACCGCUCUUGCUCGCUGACGUACCCGGGGUUGGAGUUGGCGACGCAGAGGAAGGCGUAGAGGUUGAGGAGGCACGCAAAGGCGAAUCCGGUCUGGUACCCGGCGCCCCCGUCCGUCAUGUCGUUGUCGAACUGAAACAGCAGGACGAUGAACAGGACGUGGAAGAACACCCAGAAUAUCUUGGGUAUCCAAGGCGUGGAGCCUGUGCGUGCACGGGUGGGGAUGAAGCGGGUCAGUCGGGUGGGCUCCGGUUUGAAUAUUCCCGGUGGUCGUCGGAACGGGCGGAAAAAGCCGAGGCGCGGGGGCGAUCUGUGGGUGGGGUCGCGCG